rnacentral:rRNA from 1 species
UACGGGGGGGGCGAGCGUUGUUCGGAAUUACUGGGCGUAAAGGGUUUGUAGGUGGUCUGCUAAGUCAGACGUGAAAUCCCUCAGCUUAACUGGGGAACUGCGUCUGAUACUGGCGGACUUGAGGACAGGAGAGGAACGCGGAAUUCCAGGUGUAGCGGUGAAAUGACGUAGAUAUCUGGAGGAACACCGGUGGCGAAGGCGGCAUCCUGGACCAACACUGACGCUGAGUGAGCGAAAGCCAGGGGAGCAAACGGG